AUUGAACGCUGGCGGCAUGCCUUACACAUGCAAGUCGAACGGCAGCACGGGUGCUUGCACCUGGUGGCGAGUGGCGAACGGGUGAGUAAUACAUCGGAACGUACCUUAUCGCGGGGGAUAACGCAGCGAAAGCUGUGCUAAUACCGCAUACGCCCUGAGGGGGAAAGCGGGGGAUCGCAAGACCUCGCGCGAUUAGAGCGGCCGAUGCCUGACUAGCUUGUUGGUGGGGUAAAAGCCCACCAAGGCGACGAUCAGUAGCUGGUCUGAGAGGACGAUCAGCCACACUGGGACUGAGACACGGCCCAGACUCCUACGGGAGGCAGCAGUGGGGAAUUUUGGACAAUGGGGGCAACCCUGACCCAGCAAUGCCGCGUGAGUGAAGAAGGCCUUCGGGUUGUAAAGCUCUUUUGUCAGGGAAGAAACACCGGCUCUAACACAGUCUGGGAAUGACGGUACCUGGAGAAUAAGCACCGGCUAACUACGUGCCAGCCGCCGCGGUAA
rnacentral:rRNA from 1 species